GCCGCGGGCCGGGCCCCUCUGGCGAUGCCGAUGCAUCGUGAUGUCGGACCGUAUCG
rfam:Chelatococcus sp. CO-6, complete genome.